rnacentral:rRNA from 1 species
AGCGAACGCUGGCGGCAGGCCUAACACAUGCAAGUCGAACGAACUCUUCGGAGUUAGUGGCGGACGGGUGAGUAACACGUGGGAACGUGCCUUUUGGUUCGGAAUAACUCAGGGAAACUUGUGCUAAUACCGAAUGUGCCCUUCGGGGGAAAGAUUUAUCGCCAUUAGAGCGGCCCGCGUCUGAUUAGCUAGUUGGUGAGGUAACGGCUCACCAAGGCGACGAUCAGUAGCUGGUCUGAGAGGAUGACCAGCCACACUGGGACUGAGACACGGCCCAGACUCCUACGGGAAGCAGCAGUGGGGAAUCUUGCGCAAUGGGCGAAAGGCUGCAGCAGCCAUGCCGCGUGAAUGAUGAAGGUCUUAGGAUCGUAAAAUUCUUUCACCGGGGACGAUAAUGACGGUACCCGGAGAAGAAGCCCCGGCUAACUUCGUG